rnacentral:rRNA from 1 species
UACGGAGGGAGCUAGCGUUAUUCGGAAUUACUGGGCGUAAAGCGCGCGUAGGCGGCUUUGUAAGUUAGAGGUGAAAGCCCGGGGCUCAACCCCGGAAUUGCCUUUAAGACUGCAUCGCUUGAAUCCGGGAGAGGUGAGUGGAAUUCCGAGUGUAGAGGUGAAAUUCGUAGAUAUUCGGAAGAACACCAGUGGCGAAGGCGGCUCACUGGACCGGCAUUGACGCUGAGGUGCGAAAGCGUGGGGAGCAAACAGG